GACGAACGCUGGCGGCGUGCCUAAUACAUGCAAGUCGAACGCAGUGGGGACGGGUGAGUAACACGUGGGUAACCUCCCAUCAGAGGGGAUAACACUUGGAAACAGGUGCUAAACAGAUACGGAUGGAUGUACCCGCGGUGCAUUAGCUAGUUGGUGAGGUAACGGCUCACCAAGGCCACGAUGCAUAGCCGACCUGAAAGAUGGAUCGGCAACACAGGGACUGAAGCGCGGCCCAGACUCCUACGAGAGGCAGCAGUAGGGAAUCUACGGCAAUUGAGGAAAGUCAGACCGUGCAACGCCGCGUGAGUGAAGAAGGUUUUCGGAUCGUAGAACUCUGUUGUUAGAGAAGCGGUAUCUAACCAGAAGGCCACGGCUAACUACGUGCCAGCAGCCGCGGUAAUAC
rnacentral:rRNA from 1 species